CUAUCGCACCGCGCGCUACCGGAUCCCGUCCCGAUAGCCUACCAACCAUUUAUCUUGACCUAGCUAACCCAAUCAACAAAAAAAACUCUAGGCAUCGGCCGCUGUAAGUGGUGUGUUAUCGGUUCCGUAUGCUAUCGGGAUCCACCCAGGUCAGCCAAUCGGAGCAAUUCCGUUUCUGUUCCGUUCCGCUUUGAUGAGUGAGCUCCCCACAUAUGAAUGUUCACGUAACGGAAUUAAAACGGAAAAAUUAACCUUACUUUCGUGAAAAGUUUUCGAAGGUAACGCGUGUCCAAAGUGAGACAAAUUAAAAAAAGAAAGUUCUCUACGACCUGUGGAUCGUAUCAUCAGUUUUUUAUGUUCAAGGAAUAUCAUUAAUGGUAAAUUCAAUAAAAUUAUACUUUAUUAACUAGGAAAACAGAUAGAUAAAAAAAAUGAAGAUUUAAUAACUAUAAUAAAAGAGAGACCAACCCUGUAUGAUUAUUGAAUACCAAUAAAAGAACGAGUAAGGAAACAAAAGGAUCAGUUGUGGCAGAAAGUCACUGUUUAAAAGAGGACAACUAGAGAGAGAUAAAUGGAAAUCUGAAAUAGUUAAUGGCGGAAGGUGUGGCCACCUAUAUCACGCCAUGCGGCACGAGGCAGUCUGAGCCGCCAUUUGUAAUUAUCGCACGGAGUUUGUGAAUAUUAUACGGGGGAUAAAUCAAACUAAUUGCACAUCUAGAUCCGUAAAAAGAAACGAGGAUCCAUUUCCAAAAGAGAAAGAAGAACUGUAUUAAAGAUUAUAUUGUUGAACGCUCGACCGGAAGCCUCUUACACGUCCUUAUCAGCAAAAGAGGAAAGGACUAAAGAAAACGAGAAUCCUCUACCAGGAGAAAAGGAACCCCAUUAAGGACUACAACAUUGGAUCCUUGACAAUCCGGAAGCCAGUGAGUACUCCCGACUACUUAUCUUAGCAUUAAAAAAAAAUAAUAAUAAUAAUAUUAAAGGUACACAUAUAAAUGCAAAUUAGAAAGAAUAUAUAACUAUAAUUUACUUUGGUUAGUUAUAAAAAAAAAAGAACACAAUAAAGUGGGACUAUGGUCACAUUCCUUACUACUUUCUUUUAAUCUGAACAGGAUCAUUAUACAGGGUGAUUCAGAACGACC